CAUAGUGUAAAGGCAGUUAUGUGUAUAAAUUGUCAGAAUUGAUGUAUUUUUUACUGACUCCUAUUGAAAACAAUUUUGAAUUUGUUAAUUUUAUGUUUGAAUAAUAAAAAAAAGAGUUUGCCAUAAUAAUUAUAAUUUGUUUGCUGUACCCUAAAUGGGAAAUUACAAAAAGGAUUCUGCAGAGUAAACAUGUAUACCAAUGUCUUGUGUUCAGCGCUAUACAUACCACAAAACGAGCAAAGCAGAAAAUAGGCGAAAGUGAACACAUGUUGCUGCAACCAGACAAACAAGCAAAGCAAAUGCCGACGCAAAACAACAGGACAGAAAUACUUAAAAGGAAAUGGCAAAUAUCGAAAAACGUGUGGUUAAACUGUGUAUCGAUGUUUGUGUUUUGCAACAACGAGUGGAACUUUCCACAAAUACGUCACGAUAGUUUCGAUGAACAAUCGUUGCUAUUUGGCAGGUGAUAGCGGUAUAUACGUAAGUCGCACUUGGAUUAUACAAGUAUGCUUUAAUUUCCCGUUUGUUUUAUAUCACUUUCAAUGACGCAAUCUCAUGCUCACUUUAGGUUGAACAUUAUUUUUUUUAUAUAUGAAAGAUAUGAAUGCAACUUUGUACUUUUUUGGCAUUUAAGACUUCCUGCCAGCCUUUCACAGAUCGAGUGUGCAGAAUACAGUUUAAAUAUUUCUGGCUAAGACAAGUUUUUUCUCCGCACUACUAAACGAAGUUUGCACGCCCAAAUGCAGUGAUCAUCGUUAUCAUCUCAAAGUAUUUUUCUAUGGAAUUGUUCACGAUUAAAUGAGACAACAAUGCAGAAAGAGAGAGAGUGAAAGAGAGGAAUACCAAGAAACAGUCAUUUACUACUAAGAAAACAAAGUUGUACACAUUAAAAAUUAUCUGUCAAUGCGGCUGAUUUGCAACUAGGAGAUACCCAAAUACAGAAGGCAGGCAAAUUAAUACAAAAAAAAUAUUUUAAAUGUUUGAAGAAAAGCGGUACAAAUUCUAACAAAAAUUCGUAAUUUUUUUUAUAAACUUUUUCUUGAUCAUAACAACUCAAACUGACAACCUCCAAUUAUAUUGUCUAACCAAAACGAUGGUGACCAAAGUGUUUGUCAUAAUAUUAUCUUAAUUCCUACUAAACAUCAGCACUACAUAUAACUGCAAAAGAUAUAAGAAAUCUUGAUAUACCAUACACUGCCAUCAACAUUAACACCAACCGGCACAAAUUUAUAUGUAUAUAUACAUAAAUAUAUGUACACAUUAAAAGGCAAGCAAAAUCAAAACACUUAACUUGGCACCGUAAGCUAACCAAGUAAAGCAAACAAGAAAAGCCGCACCAAACCAAAUUGAGUAACUAACCGACCAAACCGAACUAUCAAAACCAGAAAUGCCAACAAAAUUCUGACUACAAGACGAAGUAAUAAUAAUUAUACUUAUCGCUGAAGCUGAGGUCUGGAGCAACAGUAAGCAAUAAUUGCGGUGAAGGAGUGAGGGAGAGAUGAGAAUUCGGAAAGGUAAUAGAAACAAUGAAAUUGGUAUUCGACACUAUAACCACUAUAGUAGGUGAAUGGGCAUACAUGUAUGUAAAUAUAUGAGAUUUUGUGUAUAUGCAUGUGUGAAUAUUAUUAUAGUGUUGUAAAUGACCACAACACAACACCGAGACUAUAGCAUAAUACUAGGCGUUAGAAAUAUGUAUAGCAAAAUAUUUGUGUAGUGCUAAGAAUGUGAUGGUACCAUGAGCAUACAUAUACAAAAGGAAAAAGUAAAAUCAUGAAACUAGAAAAGUUAUUAACAUAAGUUCGUAUUAAUAAUCUCUCCCCCCUUACGGUCGCCAAAUGCAACAAUUAUCAUUAUACACAGAUUUGUGGCCCCUUAUACAAACCAUAUAAAUCUUUCAGCUUAUUCUUUCGUCUACAUUACUGUCGUCGUUUUCUAAUUGUCGAGGACUAUGUUCGAUAUUAUGCACUUAUGCCAAAAAUAAAUUGACAAUUCUCUAAAUCUAACAUUGGUCUCAAAUUCCACUUAUUGUUUAACAUGACUUGUAUUUCUGUCAUUUCCUUUUUUCCUGCUCAUACUGAUCUGACACAUCAUCUCUAGAGCAACGGCAAUCGAUUCGUAAUAAUCCGCUGAAAAUUUACACUAUUAGUCUCACAGGUCGUAUGAGUAACAGUUGCUUUAACAAUCUUCAGCAUUUAAAGCGUGAAAAAAAUAGUAACAAUCAAUAAAAAAAAUCAAGUAAUUAUAAAACCAAUAGAUUAAGUAACUGCAGCAUAUAAUACCUAGAAGAGAUAAUAUUCUGUAUCAGUAUAAAAUAACUAAUAUUAUAUUUUGUAAUUUCUUCGCAAUGUCGUUACUUCCUGGUGCUAUUCAGUAUCAAGUUUAGGUAC